GCGCGUCGCUAGCGCGUUUACCGUUCCCCUCUAUUAUCGGGCGCGCGGUUGAAUACGUGAGAGUACGUGAAAUACGUCGUCGGCAGUCACGUAUACGUACGCCAAACGCCGUCGUCGCGUCGAGAACGGUUGCCGUCCCCCACCCGACGACGACGCGGGGCAGCGGUUCGAGACGUCGUCAUCAUCGGUUGCCAUACGCGGGCGCUGCGGGUGUAACUCGUGUUCGUAGACUCGAAGUGCGCGUCAACGUCCGCCAGCCCCAGCCCCGGCAAUCGCCCCAC